rnacentral:lncRNA from 1 species
AACAGCUCUGGCCAGGACCUCAGGAUCACGUGGAGCAGAGCAUCUGCCUUGUCAUAAAGAACUGAACUAUUGAUUUCAUCAGAAGGGAAUUCUGGGCAUGGCAGACAUCCAGCGGAUCAUGGACAUCUCAGCCAACUUAAGGUCAAUAAGAAAAUAGAGAAGCUUGUGUAUAAACACAUAUUGGAUUUCAUGUGUAAGAGAUUGAAGUGUCUUGAGUCUUCCUUUUGCCCUUGGCAAAUGGCUGACAGUCGCUGGAGAUCUGCUCAGGCAUUAUCUGGAACUCUCUGAGCAGGGAAAGUUGAGUAAAUCCACAUAACCCUGAGGAGUGAAGUUAGGAUCCACUGCUCAGAAGCACAGAAUCACAGAAUCACAGAUUGUCAGAGAUGCGUCAGCUCAGAGAACAUCUAAGUGUCACAUCUUCAUGCUAAAUACAAGAAAACUGAGGUCUGGAGAAACUGAGUUUUUUGCCUAAAAUGACAAAGCAAAUCAGUGGCAGAGCUGAAACCCAAAGCCAAGAUUACUAACUCCUAGUCCAGUUUGCUUCCCAAGAAAUCUUGGAUCUGCAGGCAUCUCUGGGCAUCAUCUGGACCACUCUGUGACCUCAAAUUGGGCUAAGGGUUUUCUAUUCUCUGAUUAGAUAACUUCAAAGACUAGGAUAUAAAACAUUUCCUUGAUGGGCAGUUUGUUUUAAAUAGCUUUCUUUAUUGGAAUAUAAAUGACCUAUGGAAACUGAACAUCUUUAAUUGCACUAUUUGAAGACAUUUGGAAUAUUCAAUUCUUUAUACAUUGAAACCCGUCAAUCUUUUC